UACGUAGGUGGCAAGCGUUGUCCGGAUUUACUGGGCGUAAAGAGCGCGCAGGCGGUCGUUCAAGUCGCGUGUGAAAGCCCCCGGCUCAACUGGGGAGGGUCACGCGAUACUGAUCGACUCGAAGGCAGGAGAGGGUAGUGGAAUUCCCGGUGUAGUGGUGAAAUGCGUAGAUAUCGGGAGGAACGACCAGUGGCGAAGGCGACUACCUGGCCUGUUCUUGACGCUGAGGCGCGAAAGCUAGGGGAGCAAACGGG
rnacentral:rRNA from 1 species